rnacentral:pre_miRNA from 1 species
UACCUUCUGUAUACGCGCUGAGAUUUCGUCAUACACCAGACCACAAGGGCUGAUGAAACUCCCAAGAUAAGUGAAGUA